CCCUCCCUCUAAAAGCACUCUGUGUGGGGAAGAUGAGAGCCAGAGCAAAGCUCAGAGGAACCAACCUGGACCUGGAUCUGGAUCUGGACCUGGAUCUGGAUCCAGCUGUGUGUCAUUCAUGAGUGACAGAUCAAAGAAUUUACCUCCUCACUUCAAAGACAUGGAUUCAGGGGUAGAACAGAUCCAACAGAGAUCUGGAUCUGGAUCCAGCUGUGUGUCCAACAGGAGUGACCGAUCAAAGGGUCAUAAUCCAAACUUCAAGUCCAUCAGUCCUGCAGUGGAACAAGUGGACCAGCAGAGCUCAGAGACUCCCAGUGGUCCGUCUGUCCAGCAGC